AGGCCCUCCAGCUACCCCACGGAGUUUUGCACAUACGUGUUCCAUCUUCGUGAGGGUCGUUUUCAGGGCCAAGAUUU
rfam:Phytomonas sp. isolate Hart1 genomic scaffold, scaffold_7